UAGGGAAUCUUCCGCAAUGGGCGAAAGCUUGACGGAGCAACGCCGCGUGAGUGAUGAAGGUCUUCGGAUCGUAAAACUCUGUUAUUAGGGAAGAACAAAUGUGUAAGUAACUAUGCACGUCUUGACGGUACCUAAUCAGAAAGCCACGGCUAACUACGUGCCAGCAGCCGCGGUAAUACGUAGGUGGCAAGCGUUAUCCGGAAUUAUUGGGCGUAAAGCGCGCGUAGGCGGUUUUUUAAGUCUGAUGUGAAAGCCCACGGCUCAACCGUGGAGGGUUAUUAGAAACUGGAAAACUUGAGUGCAGAAGAGGAAAGUGGAAUUCCAUGUGUAGCGGUGAAAUGCGCAGAGAUAUGGAGGAACACCAGUGGCGAAGGCGACUUUCUGGUCUGUAACUGACGCUGAUGUGCGAAAGCGUGGGGAUCAAACAGG
rnacentral:rRNA from 1 species